GAUGGUAUCGCUCAGUUGGUAGAGCAGAGGAUUGAGAAUCCUUGUGCCAUCA
rnacentral:tRNA from 1 species